rnacentral:lncRNA from 1 species
GAUUUUCGAGUUUCCUUAGGUAACCCAAGAAGAAAGGUGUGAAAAAGGAAGGAGUGAAUGAGAUAAGAAUGGGGAGGAGGAUGUGAGGAAGGAAUACAUCAAGAUGCCAGGGAGCUGAGCAAGAGGCAGCCAGGGAGAAGUUCUGGGCUAUGGCCAAGGAUCUUUAAAGAGCAAGGAUCUUUAAAUAGUCAGUUUUAAGAUGUUUGGUGCAGCCUAAAUUCCUCUUCCUCUUCCCCUGCCUGAAUCUUCCGUAAGAAUCUACUACACAGAGAUGCCUUGUAUCUGCAGCAUUUUGAGAAGAGGGAAAGAGGCUGUUGCUUUGGGAAUGAUGCAGAGUGGAGAAAAAGAACAGCCAAAAGAGGCUAGACUUGAGAGAAAUUACAGUAAUUCAGUAAAAGCAGGAAAUAAUAGAAAAACAUUGACUCCAAAGAUCCUGGAAGGUGCCAGCAAGUGAGGUUAGGUUUCCCACUGUAGAUGUAAUGGAAACAUGGUUUCCCCACCAACUUCGAGGCUUGAGAGCUUACAGAUAAUCCUUAAAGUCCAACUAAUUGGUUAACAGAACAGGACGUGAAAGCAGACAGCCCGUCAGACCACAGGCCUGUGCAUCAAAGGAGCGGUCCACUCCAAGCACCAUCAGCAGGGCAGCAGAGCUCUCUGCCUCUGGGAACGAGCGAGAGAUAGAAGACUUUCCCCUUAUCCUCAGAGGACUUCUCCUCUUUUACAAGCAACCUCCUGCUGUUCCCUUCUGGGGAAUGGAGCAGGGGUCGCUUCCCUUCCCACAAGACCUUUGUUCAGGGACUCAAGUGGGAGGUUGAGCAAUAAGCAAGCUUUCUUGCUUAGAGGCUCCGCACACUUCCUGUGGUUGUUUGUUCCACCCUGCAGUUAGGCAAGCAAGCUCACCGCCUGAUUCUUAUAUUGUCGGACUAAGCAGAAGCUAUUCUUAUGAUUCAUGACUAUAUUAAUAAAGCACUAUUCUAAAGCAUAUUUUGUUAAUCCUUAAACAGGCACACCAUAGGCCAGCCCUCAACCACCUCGGCCCACAUCCAAGCCCCUGUUUUGACCCACAUUUCCCCCAUUUUUUAAAUUUAAAACAGCCAUCUCAAUCAUAACUUGCUUGUGGUUUUGAUUUUCUUUCAGGAGCUGCCUUCCGCAUCUGCAGACUAAAAACAGACAACAUAAGCAGACACAAAUUAAAACAAAAUUAGCAAUGGCAGAGCUUCCCAGAGUUUUAAUCCAUUUGAUAGAAUUGAGCUCCGAGAGCCUAUCUGCAGCUCCAGCAAGCAUUUCUGCUCCAGGCAACAAAUUUAAGUGAGCCUGCGAUGCUGCAAAAAUCUGUUCUUUUAAUUUAGUUAUAUCCAGGGUUAGAUUAUCUUCUCUUCCUUGUAAGUGGCAUCAGACCUUUUCCCACUGAUGUUCAGUAACAUUAUAAGAAUAAGGAGUAAUACAAAAAGCAGAUGUAUUCCAAUCACAUUGCAUUUGCAUACGAUGCUCUAAAUGCAUAAAACGAUCUCUUAUCCAGGUGACUGUUUGCCUCAAAUCAUUAAUUUGAUUGGCCAACUUCUGAUCAAUUUUUGCCUGAGAAUUCCAUAAUCUGGUGGAAUUUUUCUGCCAGGCAUUAACAUAAUGAGCAGUUUGAAUGGAAGAAUGCAAGGCAACACCUGCCACAGCCGCGGUGGUGGUGACAGCAAUCAAGCCCAUAAUCACAGCAAUUAAAGUAAAAAUAAAUCUUAUUGUACGAUUAAGAAUCCCUUUUAAAACUCCAGUUAUUACAUGAAUAGAGGGAAAAGUCUCCCAAGGCCUAUUAAGAGUAACUGGAAUCCAAACGCCCUCUCGUGCUCGGACCAGCAAAAUGCUAUUCCUCAUAUCAAAAGUAGAAUGAAUACAAGUAAACAGAUGGCAAUUGUCACAAGUAAUGGUUUGAGAGUCAGGUAAAAUGAUAAGUUUUCCAACAACUAACAUGUAAGGAGGUUUAACACAACUUUGAAGAGAAAUAGACUGAUUAGACUGAAGAAGCAUGGUAAACAGUAGCUUAUUACCUCUUGUUCCCCAUGAUGCUUCCCCUUUCCACACUCUCAUUCCGGAGGUAGCCAUAAGCAACUUCCACAAUUCUGGAUGUUCCAGACCCAUGACUGGACUAAUUAUCUUUGGCCAGGGAGGAGCAGUACCUUUAUCUUCCCAUUUCAAUGGAUAUAGUGAUUCCAAUCUUCUAACUAAAGUGGGGGGAUUAUUGGGACUUUCUCUAUAAUCUAUCAUGAAGGAAUCCUCAGCGCACCCAGCAUUUUGUCCAGUGCAAUUUCUGGCAAAGGAUCCUUUGGGGGCCCAAUCUAUAAUUAUUCCAUAAGAAUCCUUUUGCAAAACUACUGCACCAUCUGCUACACAGUUGUCCCAAGCAAGAAUCUCUAGUUUUUCUGACCAUUUUGGAUUUCUUUUAGGACAAGCCAGUCCUUGAGAUUUGUAAUUUUUUACUUUUAAAUUUGACCGAAAAUAACCAUCCCCAUAAGUUUUUACAGUCAUGAUAGGUUGGAAAGACAUUCCACUCACUACGUGAUAACUGGGUUGGGAACGAUUAUGAGGAGGUACAUAGAUUAUCCAACUAUGUAUUUGCAAUGGUAAACAUCAAGGAGCAAUUCCUAAACAAAUUGGAGGGUAUUCAUACCAGUUACAUUCAUCAACAUACCCUCCUUCUCAGGCUGUGCAGGACAGCCAUCAUCAAUCGGCCCAGGCAUCCAAAAUACUAUCAUUUGUAUAAACUUCAAUAGGGGAAUCCAUCCAAGUAACUGGCCUAAUUAAAGGAGGAAAUGGAACAGAAGCCAGUAUGUAAAAUUUUCUUCAGUCCAGACAGCAGGGAGACUUACCGCCGCGGUAAUUACCAUCAAGGCAGCCAAGAUCAUAUUACCCGGGAUAAUUGCCAGUUGUUUCUCCUUUAGGCUGCCCUCUGCCAUUUGAGUCAGCU